GAUUGAACGCUGGCGGUAUGCUUAACACAUGCAAGUCGAACGGAAACGAUACUAGCUUGCUAGUAGGCGUCGAGUGGCGGACGGGUGAGUAACGCGUAGGAAUCUGCCUGAUAGUGGGGGAUAGCCCGAAGAAAUUCGGAUUAAUACCGCAUAAUCUAUUCGUAGUAAAGUGGGGGACUUUCGAGCCUCACGCUAUCAGAUGAGCCUGCGUAAGAUUAGCUUGUUGGUAGGGUAAAAGCCUACCAAGGCGACGAUCUUUAGCUGGUCUGAGAGGAUGAUCAGCCACAUCGGGACUGAGACACGGCCCGAACUCCUACGGGAGGCAGCAGUGGGGAAUAUUGGACAAUGGGGGCAACCCUGAUCCAGCAAUACCGCGUGUGUGAAGAAGGCCUGAGGGUUGUAAAGCACUUUCAAUUGUGAAGAAAAGUUAGCGGUUAAUAACCGUUAGCCUUGACGUUAACUUUAGAAGAAGCACCGGCUAACUCCGUGCCAGCAGCCGCGGUAAUACGGAGGGUGCAAGCGUUAAUCGGAAUUACUGGGCGUAAAGCGUGCGUAGGCGGUUUAUUAAGUCAGAUGUGAAAGCCCCGGGCUUAACCUGGGAACUGCAUUUGAAACUGGUCAACUAGAGUAUGGUAGAGGAAAGUGGAAUUUCUGGUGUAGCGGUGAAAUGCGUAGAUAUCAGAAGGAACAUCAAUGGCGAAGGCAGCUUUCUGGACCAAUACUGACGCUGAGGUACGAAAGCGUGGGUAGCAAACAGGAUUAGAUACCCUGGUAGUCCACGCCGUAAACGAUGAUAACUAGCCGUUGGGGGGAUUUACCCUUUAGUGGGCGAAGCUAACGCGUUAAGUUAUCCGCCUGGGGAGUACGGCCGCAAGGUUAAAACUCAAAGGAAUUGACGGGGACCCGCACAAGCGGUGGAGCAUGUGGUUUAAUUCGAUGCAACGCGAAGAACCUUACCUGGUCUUGACAUCCUGCGAACUUUCUAGAAAUAGAUUGGUGCCUUCGGGAACGCAGUGACAGGUGCUGCAUGGCUGUCGUCAGCUCGUGCCGUGAGAUGUUGGGUUAAGUCCCGUAACGAGCGCAACCCCUAUCCUUAUUUGCCAGCACAUCAUGGUGGGAACUAUAAGGAGACUGCCGGUGAUAAACCGGAGGAAGGCGGGGACGACGUCAAGUCAUCAUGGCCCUUACGACCAGGGCUACACACGUGCUACAAUGGGAAGGACAAAGAGCCGCGAAGCCGCGAGGUGUAGCUAAUCUCAUAAACCUUUUCGUAGUCCGGAUUGGAGUCUGCAACUCGACUCCAUGAAGUCGGAAUCGCUAGUAAUCGUAGAUCAGAAUGCUACGGUGAAUACGUUCCCGGGUCUUGUACUCACCGC
rnacentral:rRNA from 1 species